UGUUGCUUCGGCGGGUAGGGUCUCCGCGACCCUCCCGGCCUCCCGCCUCCGGGCGGGUCGGCGCCCGCCGGAGGAUAACCAAACUCUGAUUUAACGACGUUUCUUCUGAGUGGUACAAGCAAAUAAUCAAAACUUUUAACAACGGAUCUCUUGGUUCUGGCAUCGAUGAAGAACGCAGCGAAAUGCGAUAAGUAAUGUGAAUUGCAGAAUUCAGUGAAUCAUCGAAUCUUUGAACGCACAUUGCGCCCGCCAGCAUUCUGGCGGGCAUGCCUGUUCGAGCGUCAUUUCAACCCUCAAGCUCUGCUUGGUGUUGGGGCCCUACAGCUGAUGUAGGCCCUCAAAGGUAGUGGCGGACCCUCUCGGAGCCUCCUUUGCGUAGUAACUUUACGUCUCGCACUGGGAUCCGGAGGGACUCUUGCCGUAAAACCCCCAAUUUUCCAAAGGUUGACCUCGGAUCAGGUAGGAAUACCCGCUGAACUUAAGCAUAUCAUA
rnacentral:rRNA from 1 species